rnacentral:rRNA from 1 species
CUUUUGUAAAAAUGGCAUAUUUUGGGUGAAUCAUCGAAUCUUUGAACGCACAUUGCGCCCUCUGGUAUUCCAGAGGGCAUGCCUGUUUGAGCGUCAUUUCUCUCUCAAACCCCCGGGUUUGGUAUUGAGUGAUACUCUUAGUCGGACUAGGCGUUUGCUUGAAAAGUAUUGGCAUGGGUAGUACUAGAUAGUGCUGUCGACCUCUCAAUGUAUUAGGUUUAUCCAACUCGUUGAAUGGUGUGGCGGGAUAUUUCUGGUAUUGUUGGCCCGGCCUUACAACAACCAAACAAGUUUGACCUCAAAUCAGGUAGGAAUACCCGCUGAACUUAAGCAUAUCAAUAAGCGGAGGAAAAGAAACCAACAGGGAUUGCCUUAGUAGCGGCGAGUGAAGCGGCAAAAGCUCAAAUUUGAAAUCUGGCGCCUUCGGUGUCCGAGUUGUAAUUUGAAGAUUGUAACCUUGGGGUUGGCUCUUGUCUAUGUUUCUUGGAACAGGACGUCACAGAGGGUGAGAAUCCCGUGCGAUGAGAUGCCCAAUUCUAUGUAAGGUGCUUUCGAAGAGUCGAGUUGUUUGGGAAUGCAGCUCUAAGUGGGUGGUAAAUUCCAUCUAAAGCUAAAUAUUGGCGAGAGACCGAUAGCGAACAAGUACAGUGAUGGAAAGAUGAAAAGAACUUUGAAAAGAGAGUGAAAAAGUACGUGAAAUUGUUGAAAGGGAAGGGUUUGAGAUCAGACUCGAUAUUUUGUGAGCCUUGCCUUCGUGGCGGGGUGACCCGCAGCUUAUCGGGCCAGCAUCGGUUGGGGCGGUAGGAUAAUGGCGUAGGAAUGUGACUUUACUUCGGUGAAGUGUUAUAGCCUGCGUUGAUGCUGCCUGCCUAGACCGAGGACUGCGAUUUUAUCAAGGAUGCUGGCAUAAUGAUCCAACCGCCCGUCUUGAAACACGGACAGAGUCUAACGUCUUAUGCGAGUGGUUUGGGUGUUAAACCGUACGCGUAAUGAACGUGAACGUUAGGUGAGGCUCUGUGAAUGCAUCAUCGAACGAUCCUGAAUGCUUCCGUAUGAUUG